rnacentral:lncRNA from 10 species
GACCUUCCAAAGUGCUGGGAUUAUAGGCGUGAGCCAUUGCACCUGGCCCAGUUCCCUGGGAUACAUGUGUUUUAAUUCAUUUUCUGUUGCUAGUAACAGAAUACCUGAAACUGGGUAAUUUAUAAGGAAAAGAAAUUUAUUUCUUACAGUGAUGGAGGUUGAGAAGUCCAACUUCAAGGCACCACAUCUGGUGAGAGCCUUCAUUCCGAUGACAGCCUUCAUGCUGGUGGCAAUAGCUAAUACAUUUGCCUUUAAAUUUGUUUGACAAACACCACCCUGGAAGUAGCCUCAACUCUGGGGAAGCUCCAAGACAGGUAAAAUACAGCAACCUGCAGCAGGAAAAUGGGCUUCAGUUUUCAAGUCUGCAGCUGAGUUGGGAAGUUGCGGACAGUAACCAGAGGAAAGGCCACAUGGGGACAAGAGAGGGCAACUGUCUACAAAUCUGGAAGAGAGACUUCAGAAGAAACCAGCACUGAUGGCAUCUGAUCUUGGACUUCCAGCCUCUGGAUCUAUCUGCCAGAGCCUGAUCUCAUACACACUGAUGUGGUACAGGAAAUGCCACCUGAAAAUAUGGUACCUUGGCAUUUGAGGAAACAGUAGAAGGAGGUCAUAGAAACUAGAAAGAAUUCCUCCUUGCUCUUUGUCCCCCAAAGGAGCCAUAAAACCUGGGCCGAGUUUCUUCUGAAAAUAAGUUAUAAGAUCCUUAUUCCAGAGGGGUCCUGCCCUGUGCCUGGAGGAAAAGAAUGAAGACACAGAGAUGCCUUGAAGAAUCUGAACAAACAGCCCUUGCUAAGUUCCCCCCAGUUUAUUGACAUUAGAUUAGACCUUUUGUCCUCCAAUUAUACUUCUGUGUUCCUGAAAAUACACAUUUUCCCGUUUUUUCUUUUGUUUGCUUUUUUUGAUCUUCAUUUCUGAAGAUUCCCAUGUCAUGUAAAAUAUAUGUUAAACAAAU